rnacentral:lncRNA from 1 species
AGGCAGGGGGGCGGUUGUGUGUGGGGGGGGGGAGAGAAGAAAAGAGAAAAGGAUGAAAAAUGCUGACGUCGCUCUUUUGACAAGAAAAUGUUCCAUUAAGCCGCUUGCAAUGUGCUAGUUUUGCAGAAAAGGGAAAAAUUCACUGCAACGCGGAUGAACAGGCAGAGAGGGUUGUAUCGGGCAUCGCUUAAGAAGAACAGNGGGUUUCAAGUGGCAUUUGCUAACACAAGGGCAAAGCGAUGCUGGCUGUCAAGCAAAGAAUUGAACAGAGUUGCGGAGAACAGGGUGACCAGCCCGGAAUGGGAAGUAGGGAAUAUUUGAAAAGUGGAUCGUCGAGACGAUGAAUUAAGAGCCUCCCCAUGCCGGACCAACAGUAGUUUUCAUCAUCCUUUUUCGCAGCUGGGCACCUGGGUCGAUGGAAACAUUCAUGUGCUGAAUGAAGGCGCAAGGCUGCUUAUGAUUAGAUUGGAAAAGAAAAAAGAAAGAAAGGCUGCACGGCGAAGCAAGGUGUCUGUAUGAGUUAUGACUCAGCGCUGAUCAAUUCUCAGGCCUGCGUGUCUGCUUUCUCUUAGGACAAAUGACUCAUCAGAACAAUGUUAACAAGAUCCCAGCUUGUUUGCUGAAAUCCCCUCUUCUAUACUGCAAUUAAGACUAUAGCAAUCGGACCUGGAUUGCAGAGGGCAUCUCUAGUUGCCCGUGGCAUCUUUUCAUUAUACUGCAGACCAGGGAUGCCACGACCAUUGUGGGCAUGCAGAAUUUUGCUGGGAAGCAGGGGAAGGGAAUGGCCAGCCCCUUUACUGUAUAUAUUUAGCUGCUGGAUGAAGACAUACACCUCUUCAUCCAUGCCUUUAGCUUCCAUCUGUCUUCGCUUGGUUUUUACCUUUCC